rnacentral:rRNA from 1 species
GUACACUCCUACGGGAGGCAGCAGUGGGGAAUUUUGGACAAUGGGCGAAAGCCUGAUCCAGCAAUGCCGCGUGAGUGAAGAAGGCCUUCGGGUUGUAAAGCUCUUUUGUCAGGGAAGAAACGGUGAGAGCUAAUAUCUCUUGCUAAUGACGGUACCUGAAGAAUAAGCACCGGCUAACUACGUGCCAGCAGCCGCGGUAAUACGUAGGGUGCAAGCGUUAAUCGGAAUUACUGGGCGUAAAGCGUGCGCAGGCGGUUUUGUAAGUCUGAUGUGAAAUCCCCGGGCUCAACCUGGGAAUUGCAUUGGAGACUGCAAGGCUAGAAUCUGGCAGAGGGGGGUAGAAUUCCACGUGUAGCAGUGAAAUGCGUAGAUAUGUGGAGGAACACCGAUGGCGAAGGCAGCCCCCUGGGUCAAGAUUGACGCUCAUGCACGAAAGCGUGGGGAGCAAACAGGAUUAGAAACCCGUGUAGUCCCA